rnacentral:rRNA from 1 species
CAACCUACGGGAGGCAGCAGUGGGGAAUAUUGGACAAUGGGCGCAAGCCUGAUCCAGCCAUGCCGCGUGUGUGAAGAAGGCCUUAUGGUUGUAAAGCACUUUAAGCGAGGAGGAGGCUACUUUAGAUAAUACCUAGAGAUAGUGGACGUUACUCGCAGAAUAAGCACCGGCUAACUCUGUGCCAGCAGCCGCGGUAAUACAGAGGGUGCAAGCGUUAAUCGGAUUUACUGGGCGUAAAGCGCGCGUAGGCCGCUAAUUAAGUCAACUGUGAAAUCCCCGCGCUUAACUUGGGAAAUGCAUGAGAU